rnacentral:misc_RNA from 1 species
GAUGAAGAACGUAGCGAAAUGCGAUAAGUAAUGUGAAUUGCAGAAUUCAGUGAAUCAUCGAAUCUUUGAACGCACAUUGCGCCCCUUGGUAUUCCGAGGGGCAUGCCCGUUCGAGCGUCAUUAUACCCCUCAAGCCUAGCUUGGUGUUGGGGCCUGCUGUUACCGGCAGCCCUUAAAAUCAGUGGCGGUGCCAUCUGGCUCUAAGCGUAGUAAUACUUCUCGCUACAGGGUCCCGGUGGAUGCUUGCCAUCAACCCCUAAUUUUAUAUGGUUGACCUCGGAUCGGGUAGGGAUACCCGCUGAACUUAAGCAUAUCAAUAAGCGGAGGA